rnacentral:lncRNA from 1 species
UUUGGAGGAUGUGAUGGAGCGCGACCUGCAGCCUCCAAGGCAUGAUUCAUAAUCAGAACAGCUGGAAACAAGAGGUCCCUGCUGGAGUGGAAAAGCGUUGCUUCUUGGCCUUUUGGUGGUUACUAGAGAAGUACGUGACGUCCUGAAGCUCAGCUGGGCUCUCCCAUACGUUCUCAGAGGAUUGCUCAGAGGACUGCCGAGUGGCCUGCAUAACCCCAAGAGCACAUCACACUCAGCCACAGACACCCAUCUGAUCUACCCUCAGUUCCUCGUUUUGUAGAUCGGGAAGGCGAGGUCCAGACAGCCGAAACACCUCAUCAAGUGGUACCACAGAUCAGGGCAGACGCUCAAGGAAUCUUUGAUCCUUGAAUGAGUGAUCAGCUUUCACCACUAUAGCCCAGAGCUUCGAGGAGCCUAUAAGCAAAUGGGAGGCUCGUGAGUCCCCCCAGGUGCCAACAGGACUAGCGCCUGUCAGGUGGAAACCAGUGGAGCUGAUGAAUAAGAGCCCAG